UCUUUUUCCACCGGAGCUUGCUCCACCGGAAAAAGAGGAGUGGCGAACGGGUGAGUAACACGUGGGUAACCUGCCCAUCAGAAGGGGAUAACACUUGGAAACAGGUGCUAAUACCGUAUAACAAUCGAAACCGCAUGGUUUUGAUUUGAAAGGCGCUUUCGGGUGUCGCUGAUGGAUGGACCCGCGGUGCAUUAGCUAGUUGGUGAGGUAACGGCUCACCAAGGCCACGAUGCAUAGCCGACCUGAGAGGGUGAUCGGCCACAUUGGGACUGAGACACGGCCCAAACUCCUACGGGAGGCAGCAGUAGGGAAUCUUCGGCAAUGGACGAAAGUCUGACCGAGCAACGCCGCGUGAGUGAAGAAGGUUUUCGGAUCGUAAAACUCUGUUGUUAGAGAAGAACAAGGAUGAGAGUAACUGUUCAUCCCUUGACGGUAUCUAACCAGAAAGCCACGGCUAACUACGUGCCAGCAGCCGCGGUAAUACGUAGGUGGCAAGCGUUGUCCGGAUUUAUUGGGCGUAAAGCGAGCGCAGGCGGUUUCUUAAGUCUGAUGUGAAAGCCCCCGGCUCAACCGGGGAGGGUCAUUGGAAACUGGGAGACUUGAGUGCAGAAGAGGAGAGUGGAAUUCCAUGUGUAGCGGUGAAAUGCGUAGAUAUAUGGAGGAACACCAGUGGCGAAGGCGGCUCUCUGGUCUGUAACUGACGCUGAGGCUCGAAAGCGUGGGGAGCAAACAGGAUUAGAUACCCUGGUAGUCCACGCCGUAAACGAUGAGUGCUAAGUGUUGGAGGGUUUCCGCCCUUCAGUGCUGCAGCUAACGCAUUAAGCACUCCGCCUGGGG
rnacentral:rRNA from 1 species